UAAAGUGGCGUACGGGUGAGUAACACGUGGAUGAUCUGCCUUUUAGUGGGGAAUACCGUUGGGAAACCGACGACAAUACCGCAUAAUCCCGAGAGGGGAAAGCAAUUAAAUGCGCUGAAAGAGGAGUCCGCGGUCGAUUAGUUAGUUGGCAGGGUAAAAGCCUACCAAGACUGUGAUCGAUAGCCGGCCUGAGAGGGCACACGGCCACACUGGCACUGAAACACGGGCCAG
rnacentral:rRNA from 1 species